UACGUAGGUGGCGAGCGUUGUCCGGAAUUACUGGGUGUAAAGGGCGUGUAGGCGGGGAUACAAGUCAGAUGUGAAAUACCGGUGCUUAACACCGGGGCUGCACCUGAAACUGUAUUUCUUGAGUGUCGGAGAGGGAAGUGGAAUUCCCAGUGUAGCGGUGAAAUGCGUAGAUAUUGGGAGGAACACCAGUGGCGAAGGCGACUUUCUGGACGGCAACUGACGCUGAGGCGCGAAAGCGUGGGGAGCAAAC
rnacentral:rRNA from 1 species